rnacentral:rRNA from 1 species
AGUGAACGCUGGCGGUAGGCCUAACACAUGCAAGUCGAACGGCAGCACAGUAAGAGCUUGCUCUUACGGGUGGCGACUGGCGGACGGGUGAGGAAUACAUCGGCAUCUACUUUUUCGUGGGGGAUAACGUAGAGAAACUUACGCUACUACCGCAUACGACCUACGGGUGAAAGCAGAGGAUCUUCGGACCUUGCGCGAUUCAAUGAGCCGAUGCCGGAUUAGCUAGUUGGCGGGGUAAAGGCCCACCAAGGCGACGAUCCGUAGCUGGUCUGAGAGGAUGAUCAGCCACACUGGAACUGAGACACGGCCCAGACUCCUACGGGAGGCAGCAGUGGGGAAUAUUGGACAAUGGGCGCAAGCCUGAUCCAGCCAUACCGCGUGGGUGAAGAAGGCCUUCGGGUUGUAAAGCCCUUUUGUUGGGAAAGAAAAGCAGCAGGUUAAUACCCCGCUGUUCUGACGGUACCCAAAGAAUAAGCACCGGCCAACUUCGUG